UGGAGUGUAUUCGAAACGCGGCACAAAGAAGCCCUUUCCCACCUAUAAAAAGGGCGGAAGCUUUCGUCCCUCUUCUUGGCCUCCAAAUCAGACACCGCGCUCUUCGAGAGCGAGCGAGGUGGAGAACCCUAGCGCUUUUCUUCCAGCAAUCGAGGGUUCUUGUUUUCGAUUCUGAAGGAGAUGAUAUUACGAACUCCGCCGCCGAGGAAGAGGAGGGCGGAUUCCGUCGCCGACCACGAGAGCCCCGUCUCCGACCGUCGCCUCGUGCUCUACGAUGACGCAGUCCCCGUCUCCUCCGUCGACCCGCCGCCCGAUCAGAUGGUCUGCACCUACCACUGCCGUCAGAUGGUUAAAUCAGAGUUUCUAGUAGCUUUUGAUACGGCGGAGAAGCAAGUACGUGAAUAUCAAUCCCAAUUGGAGAGAUGGAAGACGGAGCUGCAUGAGAGCGAAGAUGAGAGAAAAAAGUGUCAAGAUCGUCUUAGUUAUUUGGAACAAGAACUUGAGGCAUCCAAAGGGCGUGAACAUGCAUUGCAAGAAAGAUUGUUAAAGGAGGUCAAUGAUUCUCAGGAGCGAUAUCAGUUUCAAAUAAAGCGGUGCCAUGAGCUUGAGGUGCAACUCAAGAAAGAAGUUGAUUCUCGUAAAAAUUUUGAAUCAUCAGCAGCAUCAGCUAAAGAGAGAGUAACAGAUCUGGAAGAGAAACUUCAGCGGCUUUCUGAAAGCUCAGAAAGGGAGAAAAACCGUCUUCAAAGGGAACUCUCACAUUUGCAAGAUGAGUCACAGCUGUCUGUCUCUAGAAAGACUGCUGAUCUUGAGAAAAUGAGGCUCAAAGCAGAAAAUUUAGAGGAAGAGUCAGAGUUACUGAGGAAGCAGUUCAAGGACAUAAGAGAACAGCUGGAUGAGUGUCUUCAUCAGAAGAGUGCAUUAGAACACGAGCUAUCAACGAUCCCUACUCCAUCACAGGAAAGUACUCCCUCAGAGGACCAGAAUUUGGUGAAGCAUCUAAGAGACGAGCUUCAGAACUAUGAGGCUGAAGUACAAGAAGCCAGAAGAUUGAAAUCUUGCCAUGUGAAUAAUGAGUUAUUGAAGGAAAAGUUACUGGAGGAGAAGGGGCGCAGAGAGAAGGCAGAAAUGGAACUAUCCAAAUUCCAGCAGGCCCAACUAAAUGCGCAGAAUUUGGAACUUGAAUUAAUGUCUUGGAAAUCAUUGCUUAAAGAGAUUCCUGAUGUGACAUCUUAUGAUGAUAUACCCAAAAAAAUUGCAGGACUGCAAAAAGAAGCAAUUGAAAGCAUGAUUAAAGUCGGUGAAAUAAGUGCGCAUUUGAAAGAGUUGGAGGUUUCCCUGGAAUUGGCUGAACUUAGCAAACAACAUGCUGAAAAAGAGUCUGCAUUGGCCAAAGAGGAAGCUGAAAAUUCUGCUGUAGAAGUCAAGCGGCUUGAACGGAUGCUUUCUUCAGUUACUGAAGAAAGAGAUAGGCUAAAUAAGGAUGCUACAACAUUGAAUAAGCAGAAGACUGUGCAUGCAGACGGUGGAAUGAUGAAUGAAACCUUAGUUAAGGAUCUGGAAUCAACUCUUGCUCUAAGGGAACAGACUAUUAAAGAACUGGAGAAUAACUUACAUAAGCAGAGAGAAGUUAUGAAUCGUCAACAUGAUGAAAUAAAGCUACUGAAUGAAAAGCUUAGUUUUGAAGCAAGAAGAAUAAAGUCUUUGGAGCGGGAGGGUGACCGCUUACGUUCCGAAAUUGCUUUAUUAGAAUCGAAGUUGGGUCAUGGUGAUUACUCUGCGGCGAACACUAAGGUAUUGCGCAUGGUGAAUACUCUAGCAGUUGACAAUGAAACAAAACAAACUAUAGAAGCAUUACAAGCUGAACUAAAGAAAACACGGGCAAAGCUGCAAGCUGUUGAAGAAUUGAAGGGGCAGUCUGAUGCUGGAAAUGUAAUAAAUGUGGAUAUUUCUGAAAAGCUAGGACAGCUUAAAGGUCAAAUUGCAAUACUUGAGAAGCGUGAAGAAAGAUACAAGGCAGUUUUUGCAGAAAGGAUUUCAGUCUUCAGAAGGGCUUGCUGCUCACUUUUUGGUUACAAGAUUGUAAUGGAUGAUCAGCAGCGACCUAAUGGAAUUCCGGUGACACGAUUUACACUGCAAUCUAUAUAUGCACAAAGUGACGAUGAAAAGCUUGAAUUUGAGUAUGAAUCAGGAAAUACAAACAUUUUGGUUAACGAGUACUCUUCCCAGUCAGAAAUAUCCCAUCAGAUUGAGAUAUUUAUAAAGAAGAUGAAUUCCAUACCUGCCUUUACUGCUAAUUUAACUAUGGAGUCGUUCAACAAGCGCACCUUAAGUUAAAGACCCAUUCACCAGAAAGCAAUGGCUCAGGCAAGUUGCUCGGUGAGAGAUGUAAAUUUUUAUGAUGGCAAAUUGUAUGUCAUUUAUUUCCACAGACUGAGGAUAAAGUAAUCGGUUCAUUUUCUAAUGAAGGUGUUUAUAUGAAGGAGGUAAACGUCAACCGAGUCUGCUAGAGGAAGCUGAUUACAAAACAGAAACCUAUGAAGAUUGAAGAAAACAAGGGUGGAAACAGAUUAUGGGUCCUCCCAUUGUGAGUUUUUAUGAAAAAAAGUAUUUGAUGGAUGGUUGUUGAAAUAGAUUGAAUGCUUAUCACACAUUGGUCAGCUAUAAUUCUCUUUGUUGUUUUGGAGGAGCAUAAAGAGAAGGAAACAUGUUCAAAACUCCACGCAAAAAAGGUACAUGGUGAGUGGAGACUAAAAAAAGGUGCAUGGUGAUAGACUGCGACCUCCAUCCUUGGGAGUGUAUAAUGGUAGAUUUUUCUUCUUUUUCUGGAGCUAAGAUUUUGUAUUACAGUAGUGAUGACUCCAGAUCUAAAACUACCACCAGAUUAUUUCAGAAAUUUAUUACUAUUAUUACUCGUGUUGUUGUUGUUA